rnacentral:rRNA from 1 species
AUUGAACGCUGGCGGAAUGCUUUACACAUGCAAGUCGAACGGUAGAGGGGGCAACCCCUCGAGAGUGGCGAACGGGUGAGUAAUAUAUCGGAACGUGCCCAGUCGUGGGGGAUAACGUAGCGAAAGUUACGCUAAUACAGCAUACGAUCUAAGGAUGAAAGCGGGGGAUCGCAAGACCUCGCGCGAUUGGAGCGGCCGAUAUCAGAUUAGGUAGCUGGUGGGGUAAAGGCUCACCAAGCCAACGAUCUGUAGCUGGUCUGAGAGGACGACCAGCCACACUGGAACUGAGACACGGUCCAGACUCCUACGGGAGUCAGCAGUUGGGAAUUUUGGACAAUGGACGCAAGUCUGAUCCAGCCAUUCCGCGUGCAGGAUGAAGGCCCUCGGGUUGUAAACUUCUUUUGUACGGAACGAAAAGGUCUCUCUUAAUACGGGGGGCUCAUGACGGUACCGUAAGAAUAAGCACCGGCUAACUACGUGCCAGCCGCCGCCGUAA